CGUGAGUGAUGAAGGCUUUCGGGUCGUAAAGCUCUGUCAAGUGGGAAGAAACUGCAAUUGGCCAAUAUCCAAUCGCACUGACGGUACCACUAAAGGAAGCACCGGCUAACUCCGUGCCAGCAGCCGCGGUAACACGGGGGGUGCAAGCGUUACUCGGAAUCAUUGGGCGUAAAGGGCGCGCAGGCGGCCUGGUUAGUCAGAUGUGAAAGCCCGGGGCUCAACCCCGGAAGUGCAUUUGAUACUGCCAGGCUUGAGUAUGGGAGAGGAAAGUGGAAUUCCUGGUGUAGAGGUGAAAUUCGUAGAUAUCAGGAGGAACACCGGUGGCGAAGGCGACUUUCUGGACCAAUACUGACGCUGAGGCGCGAAGGCGUGGGGAGCAAACAGGAUUAGAUACCCUGGUAGUCCACGCAGUAAACGUUGUUCACUAGGUGUAGCGGGUAUUGACCCCUGCUGUGCCGCAGCUAACGCAUUAA
rnacentral:rRNA from 1 species